CCUGGCUCAGAUUGAACGCUGGCGGCAGGCCUAACACAUGCAAGUCGAGCGGUAGAGAGAAGCUUGCUUCUCUUGAGAGCGGCGGACGGGUGAGUAAUGCCUAGGAAUCUGCCUGGUAGUGGGGGAUAACGUUCGGAAACGGACGCUAAUACCGCAUACGUCCUACGGGAGAAAGCAGGGGACCUUCGGGCCUUGCGCUAUCAGAUGAGCCUAGGUCGGAUUAGCUAGUUGGUGAGGUAAUGGCUCACCAAGGCGACGAUCCGUAACUGGUCUGAGAGGAUGAUCAGUCACACUGGAACUGAGACACGGUCCAGACUCCUACGGGAGGCAGCAGUGGGGAAUAUUGGACAAUGGGCGAAAGCCUGAUCCAGCCAUGCCGCGUGUGUGAAGAAGGUCUUCGGAUUGUAAAGCACUUUAAGUUGGGAGGAAGGGCAGUUACCUAAUACGUGAUUGUUUUGACGUUACCGACAGAAUAAGCACCGGC
rnacentral:rRNA from 1 species